GAGACGACUACUCAUAUAACCCAUCCAUGAGGGUGAAGGCCAAGCAGGUGCUUCCUGGAUCCCUUCACAAAUAAAGUUCUUGUAUUCAAACCUUUGUCUGGGGUCAGCUUCUGGAGGAUCCAACCUAAGAAAGCCCAGCAUGAGGAUAUUUGUGAAAAGGCAAGCAAACCAAUUCAGCUUCACUCUCAACAAUCUACCCAGUACCCAUUUCUCAGAGAGGGCCUCUUACAAGUAGGAAAAUUGUUUUUGCACUGAAAAGGCAAUAUUUGAGCAGAGACUUGAAUGAAAGUGAGAGACAAAAGCCGUGAUAAGAUUUAAGAGGAUACAUUUCCAAACAAGGAGAAGAACAAGUGCAAAGAUCCUGAGGGCUGCUUCCCCAGGUCCUCCAGGUUCGUGUUGAAGGCGGGACUUGAGAAUGGAGCUGUGAACUGUGGCUCCCACAGUGGGAGGCAAAGUCUGUCUGCUUCAGGGGGCUGCUCUGAUAGGCCCCAGGGAUCUCAUUGUGAAGAGAACAACCUGCUUCCUCAAAACGGUUUAAAGACAAACCAACUCAAUGUAAUCCUACUGUAUUGCUAUCUAAAGAAAUAAAACCUUAUGGCAAAAAGUAUGCGAGUGUAGCCUAUGGAGACAGAUUGUCUGGAUUCAGGUUGAUGUCCCAGUUCCAUUUCUUACUUUCUGUGUGACUGCAAGCAAGUUACGUAACCUCCCUAAACUCCAUUUUCUCAUCUGUAAAUUGGAAAACAUAGACUAGUGGGUAAAAAUAAUAAUAAUAGAUUUUUAACAUUUAUGUAAUAUAACUCAUAUAAAGAUCUUAGCAUAAUGUCUGACACAGCCUAAGAGCUUAUUGAAUGAAAUCUAUUGCUAUAGUUCUUAUUAAAUAUACAAUUAUUACUACAGAUUCACAAGUAUUUUUUAUUUGUUGUAUG
rnacentral:lncRNA from 1 species